rnacentral:rRNA from 1 species
AGCAGCCGCGGUAAUUCCAGCUCCAAUAGCGUAUAUUAAAGUUGUUGCAGUUAAAAAGCUCGUAGUUGAACUUCAGGCCUGGCUGGACGGUCCGCCCUCUGGGUGAGCACUGUCUGUGGUCGGGUCCUACCUUCUGGCGAAGCGGCAUGGCCUUAACCGGCCGUGGCGGGGAACCAGGACUUUUACUGUGAAAAAUUGAGUGUUCAAAGCAGGCACGCGCUUGAAUACAUUAGCAUGGAAUAAUGGAAUAGGACAAUGGUUCUAUUUGUUGGUUUCUAGGACCGUUGUAAUGAUUAAUAGGGAUAGUUGGGGGCAUUAGUAUUCAAUUGUCAGAGGUGAAAUUCUUGGAUUUAUUGAAGACUAACUACUGCGAAAGCAUUUGCCAAGGAUGUUUUCAUUAAU